UUGACCUCGAAUCAGGUAGGAAUACCCGCUGAAAUUAA
rnacentral:rRNA from 1 species